rnacentral:rRNA from 1 species
AGCGAACGCUGGCGGCAGGCCUAACACAUGCAAGUCGAACGAACUCUUCGGAGUUAGUGGCGGACGGGUGAGUAACACGUGGGAACGUGCCUUUAGGUUCGGAAUAACUCAGGGAAACUUGUGCUAAUACCGAAUGUGCCCUUCGGGGGAAAGAUUUAUCGCCUUUAGAGCGGCCCGCGUCUGAUUAGCUAGUUGGUGAGGUAAAGGCUCACCAAGGCGACGAUCAGUAGCUGGUCUGAUAGGAUGAUCAGCCACAUUGGGACUGAGACAAGGCCCAAACUCCUACGGGAGGCAGCAGUGGGGAAUCUUGCGCGAUGGGCGAAAGCCUGACGCAGCCAUGCCGCGUGAAUGAUGAAGGUCUUAGGAUUGUAAAAUUCUUUCACCGGGGACGAUUAUGACGGUACCCGGAGAAGAAGCCCCGGCUAACUUCGUGCCAGCAGCCGCCGUAA